AGAGUUUGAUCCUGGCUCAGAACGAACGCUGGCGGCAUGCCUAACACAUGCAAGUCGAACGAGACCUUCGGGUAUAGUGGCGCACGGGUGCGUAACGCGUGGGAACCUGCCCUGAGGUUCGGAAUAACUCCCCGAAAGGGGUGCUAAUACCGGAUAAUGUCUUUUGACCAAAGAUUUAUCGCCUUUGGAUGGGCCCGCGUAGGAUUAGCUAGUUGGUAGGGUAACGGCCUACCAAGGCGACGAUCCUUAGCUGGUCUUAGAGGAUGAUCAGCAACACUGGGACUGAGACACGGCCCAGACUCCUACGGGAGGCAGCAGUGGGGAAUAUUGGACAAUGGGCGAAAGCCUGAUCCAGCAAUGCCGCGUGAGUGAUGAAGGCCUUAGGGUUGUAAAGCUCUUUUACCCGGGAUGAUAAUGACAGUACCGGGGGAAUAAGCCCCGGCUAACUCCGUGCCAGCAGCCGCGGUAAUACGGAGGGGGCUAGCGUUGUUCGGAAAUACUGGGCGUUAAGCGCACNUAAGCGGCUUUUCGAGUCANGGGUGAAAUCCNGANCUCAACUCCGGAACUGCCUUGAAACUGGAUCGCUUGAAUCUUGGAAAGCGANUGGAAUUNCCANUGUAAAGUGAUAUUCG
rnacentral:rRNA from 1 species